CUUCAGCAGCGGACCUGGGAAGUGAAACACAGUUUUAUGAAUGUUUCUGGCUCUCAGCACUACACAGCCAGAUUUUCAAGCAGACUGGAGAAGGGCAGAGACAUCUGGAGGAAUCUUCUGUCCCCUUGUGGGUCUGAGCAACACUUUCACACCACUUCUUCACUAUGUCCUGAUGCUGUAUUCAGUGUGCAAGGCACAGAAGGCAUACCUGAGUCACUCUCUGGCUUGAGCAGGAACCUGAAAGGACUGAGGCUACAGAAGGUGCUAAAAUCACACGCUAUUUCAUGAUUUCCAAGACACAUAGUUUGUAAGAUUCUUAAUUAUUUACUGAGCCAUAAAAUGCAACCCAACACAUAUAACCACCUGAACACAUAUGAUCAUGCCUGCCUCCUUUAGUGGCAGGCAUAUCUAACUAGAUAGGAAAAUGCUUACUGUGAAGAAAAGGAGAGACAAAGAACCUAAAAGAUGGCUGAUAAGUUGUUCGAAGGUUUCAGAAGUCCAUCAAACUUCAUCUCACAUGUUACUGCUGAGAGAAAUUACAAAUAUAAUAUAUACAUUUUCAGCUUCUUUUUCAAAUUAAAAGUUAUAUCAUGAGAAUUUAGGUUGCAUUUGCUUUAUACCUGUAAUGGAAAGUCUUUUGGUCAAUAUAUGACACAUGAAAAAAAUGGUUUGUUCCAACACAAUGCUCUGCCUGCUUACAUGAUUGGCUUACACAGCUGUAUGGUACCUAGACAUUUAAUUGAUGCUGAUAAAGAUCAAGAUACCCUUUCAUAAGACUUCCCAAAGGGAAAGGCUGCAGCUGUUAAAUGUGUUUUGUUACAGAUGGGGAAUGGAGAGACAUCCAUGGCAGCUAAGGACUGCAGGUCUCUGAAUCCUGGACUAACACAUGAUCCUAUCUUCCCUCCCUUUUCAUCCCUAAUUCAGAUUGUUAAGCAUCCACUGUAACACAGAGUAGCCCAACAAAUGUGUUAAGAUUUUGAUCUGUGCAGUUCUGCUGUUCUACUCUCCUACAUUACUCAAAAAUCAGACUAAGCUUGAGUAAGAAGAUGCCAUAGAAAAGGCAUUUUUAAAGCAUGACCACUGACAUUGGAACUCAUUUUCUACAAUGGAUCCUGGAUUUAUGCAUUACAAACAAUAUGUUCUGCAUUCAGUGCUCCGGGACGACUGACCUACUCUCUAAAGGCGGAAGAUACAGUAAAGAGAAAUAAGAAGCUAUUCUUUCUCUCUCUCUCUGCGAUUGCACUGAAGAGCCUGCUCUGCCUACCUGCCUGAUAUUCCUGAGUCAUUAUCUGUGUCUUAAUAUCCAUCUCUGAGCACCUCACAUGCAUGUUAAAGGACAGAACUAAAAAGCUCCACUCUUAACAACAUCUCUUAGCAAAAACGAUCUAAAACAGUGCCCUGCCACAACUCUCUUACAGACUUGUGUUUUCUCUGUGGUGAGCAGCAGGAACACAUCACAUCAAGUUUCAAAGACCUGAUUACCUGUGGAGGAUGUUAAUCUCCUCUCAGCAGAGAGGGAAUGAUGCUAAUUUGCAAUGUUACCAAUUAUUUUGGAACAGGCAGUCAAUUAAUCCAGUCCCAACAGCUCAAAACUGAUCCCUUGUGCACUGAUCCUUUAACCCCAGUCUAGCAAUGGCACUUCUGCUGUCUCCAUCUGCUGAGGAGUCCUUUCCACAGCCUUGGGGAAGAGCUCAGCUGGGACAAAUGCUGAAAGCAGGUGGGCAGCAGAAGGAUUGGGAUGAGCUCAGGAGCAUCUUCUCCCUCUAGCUCUUCUUUAGCCAUGGGGCAGAUGUGUGAGCCACAGCUACUUCUCUCCAUAGUGACCAGAGCAGCAGUUACUACUGCUUUCCUUUACUUUUACGCUGGGACUCACCUUAUUGAUCCUCUCUACUUUACCGCUACAAGCUGUCAGUAAGGACUACAAGGAGAAUGUGAAAAUGAGCAAUUCCAAAGAUACAAGAACAUCUCUGUGCAGCUCCUCAACACAUUACAGAAAAUACUUAGGGAUCAAAAAGCCCCCCACUUUUCAUAUUAACUACUGGUAUAAACCUAACUAUGCUUCUAUUCUCUUUCUUUUUUAGCUAUGAUGUCCUCCUAAUGUGUCUGUGACAUGCAAAAACUCUCCACCUAGUUUUGACAGACCUGAACUUGAAAUGAUGACCAAAUGUGAUGUAGACUGUCAGAGGUGAUCCUAUCCAAAAGUUUCUGGCUAAGGAAGAAGGAAACCCAUAUGGGCAAAAGGGAAAAGGAUGGGCUGCCCCACCAGAAGUGUGAGGACAGAGGUGCACUGGGACCUCCAGAGGCAGAAAAACAGGUGCUGCAUGCCAUAUUGAAGCAAACCCCCAAAGGCCUUCUCCUCUCCCUCCUCCUUCUGAGAGACAACCACUGAGCAGUGGCAUUUUCCUGAAAACAAUACCUGUUUUCUUCAGGCUGCAUGAUCCAUUUGCACAUAAGAACUAAGAACAUUAUCAUCUGGAGGGAGGACACAAGAAACUGUGUCAUUCCAAGGAAGCUAAAACAUUAGAAGAGGUAGAAGACACUUAAUGGAGGACAGGGCCAUGGCAAUUUGCCCCGGCAGUCCCACAGUUCUUAGUGUUGCAACAGCCUCCAGAAAUGCUCUACAGAGAGGUCACACAGAGCACUGUGUCAAGCCCUGAGGGAAGCACUAGCUGACUGACUAUUGGGCAUUUUGACUUCAGCCAACAAGCCACAUUUGGGGAUAUACAAUUUUUGGUGCUAUGAUACAAGUACCACAUGCAAACCAAGGAAUCUAAUAGCUGCAGAACUCCUGACUGUGGGAAUGGCACAAAUUACUCAGGAGCUUCAUUUUGCAUGUAAAUGGCAAUUAGGCUCUUAAAUCAAUUGAAUAAGAAAAUUUCACAGUGUAAUGCUGAGGACCAUGGAUUUUUUGGGCUCAUCUGUGGCUCACUUCACAAGGUGUCCCUUGCUACUCUACACAGAAGAGCCUGGGACUUCACAUUCCAGUGGUGAACCCAUGCUGGCUCUAUACCAUCUAUUUCUAUGGAAUUAAUCCUGUUUUACCACAUCACAGAAAGGAGAUUCUGGCUCACUGAGAUGAAUGUGUGAAAAUUGGCAACCCUGAGAAGAUGUCACCAUGCCUUGCCACCUGCAUCUCCUACGCCUGAGAGACAUGCCCCGAAGGGGAACACCUGCCAAAGAUCUUUCACCUUGCCUUAUGUACUGUAGUAAAAAUCCUCAGUGUAUUUAUAUUGCCAAAUUAACAGAAAUACUUAUCAAAAAUGAUCUUGGCAGUGUCUAAUAACAAGCUUUUUAAAGGCCUAUAUUUUUCCAUAGCUGCAGCUCUUCAAAAAAUUAAUGCUUUGUUUUGACUUGACUAAGGGUUGGGGUGGGUGGGUGGUCUGAAAUCCAUAUGGGCCUCUUUAAUUACCUUAGUCACACCAGCAGUUACAAGUUACCACAGCAUUCUCUGUUUUUUCCUGUUAGUAAUGAGAGAACCUUCAAUUCAAAUAUAUAUAUAUAUAUAUAUUUUCAGUUUAAUUAGUUACAAACCACUUCUAUGCCAUGUUUCUCUUUCUAGAGAUCCUCAGCUUAUGAGCUGUUUCCUGCCUGGUGACUGGUUUCUCUGACUAAGUUAAUAACAAUUUUUUAGAAAUAAUGAACUCAGCAUGUUAUGUUUAGUUAUUCUCUCACUGACUUUAAAUAAUACUUAUUUAUUCC